CGCCAACAACAGCCCUUCCCCAAACUCCAGUGACAGCGGGAACUGGCGGCCCAGCUGCCACACGCAGUCCAGGAAGAGGAGAAAGGUCUCAGCUAAAGCAUCCAAAUCUAAGCUAAAGGUUUCAGAGAAACCUUUGGAUUACCUGAAGUCACCUUACUAAGAGGGGUGCCUCCUUUGUGCUGCUGCUUACCUCACUGAAUUCUAAUUGCCCAUUCACUACUGCUCUCUAUCUCGGCUGGCCACCAUGGCAGCCCCUAUGCUCAAUGCACGGUGAAUAAAUGAAUAAACAGAGUUUUGUAUUUUU